rnacentral:rRNA from 1 species
CCUGCCCAGUGACUAACGUUCAACGGCCGCGGUAUCCUAACCGUGCAAAGGUAGCAUAAUCACUUGCCCAUUAAUUGUGGGCUAGAAUGAACGGACUAACGAAAUAAAAGCUGUCUCUAUAAACCAGAUAAAAAUUAAUCUCUAACUGAAGAGUGUUAGAUAUAAUCGAAGGACAAGAAGACCCUAUAGAGCUUUAUUAAAACAAGAAUAAGAUUUCUUGCUACAAUUCGGUUGGGGCGACCGGGGAAAUAAAUUAUCAUCCCCCCAUAAAAGAUUAAUAAAUCAUAUUAAAGACCCUUAAUAAAGAUCACAAAAACAAGCUACCUUAGGGAUAACAGGCUAAUCCUACUAAAGAGUCCUUAUCAAUAGUGGGGGUUGGCACCUCGAUGUUGGCUUAGGGAAACUAUGCGGCGCAAAAGUCGCAUAAAGAUGGUUUGUUCAACCAAUAAUUCCCUACAUGAGCUGAGUUCAGACCGGCGUAAGCCAGGUUAGUUUCUAUCCUCGAAUUUCAAUCCCACCCGUAGUACGAAAGGACCUGGGUAGGGGUAAUAAUUACAUAUAAAGAACAAAUAUAAUAAAAUUUCAAAACAACUGCCCAUACAAUA